rnacentral:rRNA from 1 species
UACGUAGGUGACAAGCGUUGUCCGGAUUUACUGGGCGUAAAGAGCGCGCAGGCGGUCGAUCAAGUCGAGUGUGAAAGCCCCCGGCUCAACUGGGGAGGGUCAUUCGAUACUGAUCGACUCGAAGGCAGGAGAGGGUAGUGGAAUUCCCGGUGUAGUGGUGAAAUGCGUAGAUAUCGGGAGGAAUACCAGCGGCGAAGGCGGCCUUCUGGACGGUGACUGACGCUGAGACGCGAAAGCGUGGGGAGCAAACAGG